rnacentral:lncRNA from 1 species
ACUUGAGUAAAUAAGGUUUUGGGGUAUUUGACAAAUUAUGAUUUAGGGUUACUUGACAAAGUAGCAAAUAGGGGUAUUUGACUAAUUAAUGUUCACAGGUACUUGACUAAUUAGGAUUACUUGACUAAGUAGGGUUUAGGGGUAUUUCAAAAAUUAGGGGUUUAGAGUUACUUGACAAAUUGGGGUUUAUGUGUAUUUGACUAAUUAGGGUUUAAGUGUACUUGACUAAAUAGGGCGUUGUGUUACUUAACUAAUUAGGGAUUAUGGUUAUUUGAUAAAUUACACUUUAGGGUUACUUUGUUAGUUAUAGUUUAGGGGUAUUUGACAGAUUAGGGUUUAAGGCUACUUGGCUUAUUGGGUUUUAAUGAGUAUUUGACAAAUAAGGAUUUAGGGUUUCUUUACAAAUAAGCUUUUAGGCGUAUUUGACUAAUGAGGGUUUAUGGAC